rnacentral:lncRNA from 1 species
GGUCCAACGUUCUGUAACCCUAAAUUCUUCCCGACAUUGUGCCGUCAGAAUUGCCGGAGCUUCAAAGGUGCCAAAGGAGGUAAAUGUGUGAAGCAGCCCAAACACAAACCUAUCAAAUGCUUCUGCGACUACUGCAAAGACGACUAGACUUCACAAAAAACGCCUUAAAUAGAACCACUGGUUCUAGCUUCACUCUCCAAACGCAACCACCCCUUCUCGACCUAAAUGUUUGUAAUUUCCAUAUAAAUUUUAUAAAAUGUAUCUUUGAUGUUUGUUUGUCCCAGCAUUUUCAUGUAUUCUCGGCAUCAUAAAUCAUAACAAUAUUUCCCCAGUUGCUAAAAAUAAAGGAACGUCUGUAAACAAUGUUGUCAUAAUUUUCAUGUCUUAUCAAAGAACAUGAUGAAAAGAUAAGUGACAAUCAGUAGUACGAAGGAUCAUUAUGACAAGCUAGUGUCGGAGGAGCUUAAACACAAGGCCCACAAUGUAGAAAAUACAGGAUACUUUUCAUUUUUAUAUUAAAGUAAACAACACACAUCUAAUAAAAAUAAAUAAUGGAUGGAUUUUUCAUAUGAAAUCAAACUAUUAAAAAAAUUAUUAACAAAUUUAUUAGUUUAUUUAAAUCCAAACUAAUACAUAAUUUUAUUUUAUAAAAUUUAUAUUCUAAUUAUCCAACAUAAACACAAACCUACGUAUAACUUUGUUAAUUAUGAACUUUAGAUCCUAAUUUUUUUUUAAUUUAAAACUAUAUAUAUAUAUAUAUAUAUAUAUAUCUUCGUUUCAUUAUACUUUACUCUUUAUUUAUAAAUUUAAACUGACAUAUAAUCUCCUUAAACUGUUAUAAUGGAGUUUCAUAAGAUCAGAAACGAAGUUAUAAAGAUUGAGUCUUUUAAUUUUAGGAAAAAUAAAUAAUGGAGCUUUCAGAAGACCGUAUGAAAACGUCUUCCUAGACAUAUCUAGAACGCACCAUUAUUAUUAUUAUUUUCCUUUUUGGUUUAAUAUACAUAUAAAUAUAUACAAAAAAUUUCUUAUAAAAUAAUGAAUCCCAACAAAUCAUUAUAAAACAGUAAUGGCCGUACAACCCUUAUCCAGAUUGUAGCAAUACAGGAUGCUUUUAAAUAACACGUACGUGUAUUGUUGAUAUAUGAUGCCAUGUCACGUGUGUGUGUGUGUGUGUGCGCGCCUUUACAAUUCCAAGAUGUGGUCCUGUGGACCGAGCACAAUAAAAAAGGUCAAUUUUACUCUUGCAACGUCCUUGAACGAUGCACAAUAGCUAAACACACGGUUAAAGUAGUACAAUUUAUGAAAACAUAAUCUGUCGAUUAAUAAAAAGAGUAAGAGAAUGCAAAUCUAAGUGGAACUUAAAAAAUAAAAAUUAAGAGAGAAUAAUGUCCAAUUAGAAGUUCGUUUUUGAAUUCCAAGCAAUGCAACGAUGAAGUUUCAGUCACCCAGCAUUACCAUCUUCCAUGGAAGAUAGUUGAAACCGUUUCUCCCCUCCGAGAUAUCUGAACAAAAUUAUGAAGACACAAGAUCAGAAUUCUAGAAAAUAAGCCUUACAUUACAUGAGUAAAGCAGAAGAAUCUUGAGGAGAGAAAUCUGAAAGUUUUUGUGAACUCAUGAGGGUGACGCAACGAUGAAGAACAUAUCUCUAAACAGAUUUAUAUAAGGAUCAUGAAUUUUUUUUGAAGAUGUAUCGUUUCCCAAAAGGACUUGUAGGAGGACACGAUGUCACACUGUUCUUUUUUCUUUCCGUCGACUCUUCAGUUUUGAUUUAGUUAUUUUGCUUAAUUCAGUAAUUUAUUUAAU